rnacentral:ncRNA from 1 species
AAGCCCAGCGCUGAAUCCAUCGACCACUGGUCGCUUGGAAUUGUAGCGUAUAGGUGUGGCUAUCCGAUCGUUUCUAGACGGUCGGUUGGUCGCUCCUGGGAGUAGGGUUGUGUGGGAUCGCAACCUGAAGUUGGUGAUGAAUCUCACCUUGGCGAAAUAUGACCUCGAACCCGAUAGCAAACAAGUGCCGUGAGG